rnacentral:lncRNA from 1 species
AGAUGGUGGCCGAUGAAGGAGGCCCAGGCAACCCCUUCUGGUCUUCCAGACAGCACCACAGGUUUGUGUGGGUUGGAGGGGUGCUAUCUGUCUGUCCAUCCACAAGCACAUGCCAGAAAGAAGAGGAUGGAGGAGAUGGCUUCUCCAUCAAGACUUCAAUCUCAAAGGGCAAUACUGUGCGGCAAAAGAAGAGCUGGCUCCUGGAGGACUUCUGGGGCCCCAGGCAUGGAUCAAUGUUUGCAUCAGAAAAGAAAGCCUGUCAGCAAUGGAGGUGCUGGAGGAUUUCUGGAAGGGGGGGGCCUCAUUCAAGACCACCAAGGGACUGCUGACUGUUCUCGUUCAUGACGCCUCUCUUCAAGGAAAUUGACCCUCCCAGAGUGCAAGACGGAGAAAAAGGUUCUUAAGAACUUCCCCUGGAAAUCACCACUGAAUGGAUGCCAGGCAAUUCUAGAAUCUCCACUCUUUGGUUUUUUGGGCCCUUGGAUGGAUGAGAAGUGAUGUGCAGAUCUGAUGGGAAAAAUGGCAGAGACCACAGCUUCUCUCCUAAACCCUCAUUCAUUGCCCAUCGGACAAUUCUCCUGUUUCCGAUCCUGUAAGGUCACAAGGAUUUCUCAUUUCAGGUAGACCAGAAAAGAAGCCACUGAUGGAAUGCUGCAAGAAGGGGUUUACCAUGCGGUGUGAUUUCUGGGACCCCUUCUUCCCUGUUGAAAAUAUUUCACAGGCCCCCAGGACCUCCCCCAAAAGACAAGGGCAGAAACCAAAGAAAAUGCACUGUUCCAAUUUUGUCCAGGCUGCCUGUGGAAUGAGAAACCCAUGAGAAAGUUAUUGAGACUUCAGUUUUCUAUUCCUCUCCUUAUCCGGCCUCAUUACCUCCCCAACCCCUGAGAGAAAAAAUAAAUAAUUCACAAACAAA